rnacentral:rRNA from 1 species
GAGCGGCGGACGGGUGAGUAACACGUGGGCAACCUACCUGUAAGACUGGGAUAACUCCGGGAAACCGGGGCUAAUACCGGAUGAAACAAAGCGUCGCAUGACGCAAUGUUAAAAGGCGGCAUAUGCUGUCACUUACAGAUGGGCCCGCGGCGCAUUAGCUAGUUGGUGAGGUAAAGGCUCACCAAGGCAACGAUGCGUAGCCGACCUGAGAGGGUGAUCGGCCACACUGGGACUGAGACACGGCCCAGACUCCUACGGGAGGCAGCAGUAGGGAAUCUUCCGCAAUGGACGAAAGUCUGACGGAGCAACGCCGCGUGAGUGAUGAAGGUUUUCGGAUCGUAAAACUCUGUUGUUAGGGAAGAACAAGUGCCAUUCAAAUAGGUUGGCACCUUGACGGUACCUAACCAGAAAGCCCCGGCUAACUACGUGCCAGCAGCCGCGGUAAUACGUAGGGGGCAAGCGUUGUCCGGAAUUAUUGGGCGUAAAGCGCGCGCAGGCGGUCCUUUAAGUCUGAUGUGAAAGCCCACGGCUUAACCGUGGAGGGCCAUUGGAAACUGGAGGACUUGAGUACAGAAGAG